rnacentral:lncRNA from 1 species
GCUCCUAUGAUCAGUGGAGGACCUAAGUGACUCAUAAUUAGACAAAAUGUAGAUUCAAGUAAGAGUUACAUAACAGUUUUAGCAGUCAUAUAUGCAAGAAAAAUCAUUAUGCUUAUAAGUGAAGUGAAAAGUAACAGAAGCAUUCCCAAAAAUGUGAUAAAGAUAUUAAAAAGCACCAUGACUGACAGAACUCGAACGCCAUAGAGACUCAUUAGUAGAUUCUAAAGGAAGUUGCUAAUGAAUAAGAAAAGCUGUUAAACAGACUUUGAAAAUCUCCAAAGAACUGGGACGUGCUUUAAGAAAAUCUUGAGGUAAGUGCAAUAUAAUAAAACUCAGACAAAAUUUUUAACUAUCACAGGAAAUACCAUUGCAAUGGUAUUGUAGGUUAUAACAGUUCAGACAUAAGUGCCUUCAGGAUUUUGAAUAUUGUUUAAAGAGACAAAAAAGACCUAUCAAAGCUCACUACUCUAUCAAAACCUUAGAAUCUCUUAAUAACAGAAGCAGCUGCCUAGAUUCAAACUGUGUAAGAAAAAUGCAAGGAUUACAAAAAUUUGAUGCAAUAUUUUUACAUCC